AUUGAACGCUGGCGGCAGGCCUAACACAUGCAAGUCGAACGAGUGGCGGACGGGUGAGUAAUGUCUGGGAAACUGCCUGAUGGAGGGGGAUAACUACUGGAAACGGUAUCUAAUACCGCAUACCAUCGGAUGUGCCCAUAUGGGAUUAGCUAGUAGGUGGGGAAAAGGCUCACCUAGGCGACGAGCCCUAGCUGGUCUGAGAGGAUGACGCGCCACACUGGAACUGAGACACGGUCCAGACUCCUACGUGAGGCAGCAGUGGGGAAUAUUGCACAAUGGGCGCAAGCCUGAUGCAGCCAUUCCGCGUGUAUGAAGAAGGCCUUCGGGUUGUAAAGUACUUUCAGCGGGGAGGCGUUACCCGCAGAAGAAGCACCGGCUAACUCCGUGCCAGCAGCCGCGGUAAUUC
rnacentral:rRNA from 1 species